rnacentral:rRNA from 1 species
UACGUAGGGUGCAAGCGUUGUCCGGAAUUAUUGGGCGUAAAGAGCUCGUAGGCGGUCUGUCGCGUCGGCUGUGAAAACCCGGAGCUCAACUCCGGGCCUGCAGUCGAUACGGGCAAACUGGAGUGUUGCAGGGGAGACUGGAAUUCCUGGUGUAGCGGUGAAAUGCGCAGAUAUCAGGAGGAACACCGGUGGCGAAGGCGGGUCUCUGGGACGGUACUGACGCUGAGACGCGAAAGCGUGGGGAGCGAACAGG